AGUAACGCGUAGGUAACCUGCCUGGUAGCGGGGGAUAACUAUUGGAAACGAUAGCUAAUACCGCAUAAUAUUAAUUAUUGCAUGAUAAUUAAUUGAAAGGUGCAAUUGCACCACUACCAGAUGGACCUGCGUUGUAUUAGCUAGUAGGUGAGGUAACGGCUCACCUAGGCGACGAUACAUAGCCGACCUGAGAGGGUGAUCGGCCACACUGGGACUGAGACACGGCCCAG
rnacentral:rRNA from 1 species